CCCUUCUUCCAGAUCACCAAACCCAACAACAGGACUACUCUGGGUGACAACCAUUUUGAGGCCUACAGCCGUUACCAGCUCUUGGUUGCUGCAGAUGUUGAGAAUACGCUGAGUUUUAAAAAAGGCCGUGAUACCAGUCAGGUGUAUGGUCAGUCCCUGGGAGUCAAUUUUGAUGGACGGACGUACAUAGAAGGUGGUCAGCAUGAUGCCAAGGACUCAUACAAGAGGCAUGCCUUCAAUCUAGCCGAGAGUGACAAAAUCUCCAGUAAUCGCCCUGUGCCAGACACCAGGAAUUACAGGUGCUCGGCCUUUGAGUAUGAUGCCUCCUCCCUGCCCCAGACCAGUGUCAUCAUCACCUUUCACAACGAGGCCAGAUCUGCCCUCCUCAGGACCAUCACUAGUGUACUGAACAGAAGCCCUCCAAACCUGGUGCGAGAGAUUGUCCUUGUGGAUGACUUCAGUGAUGAUCGUAAGUUAACAAUGUACCA